UUUCAAAGAAUUUGCCGGAAAGCAAUAUUUCCAAAAUCUAUCUCUGUUUAUUUUCCAGUGAAAAAGGUUAAUGAAGGAUCAGUACGAUCACACGGGAUAGUAUCGACUAGCCUUUGCGCGACGGGUCCCCCACGAGUCCGCCUUAUCAACUGUUGACGGCCCGGUAAGUGCCGACCGUGGUGGCAACGGGUAACGGGGAAUCAGGGUUCGAUUCCGGAGAGGGAGCAUGCGAAACGGCUACCACAUCCAAGGAAGGCAGCAGGCGCGCAAAUUACCCACUCCCGGCACGGGGAAGUAGUGACGAAA
rnacentral:ncRNA from 1 species